GCCUACGGGAGGCAGCAGUAGGGAAUAUUGCACAAUGGGCGCAAGCCUGAUGCAGCGACGCCGCGUGGGGGAUGCCGGCCUUCGGGUUGUAAACUGCUUUUGUACGGAACGAAAAGGUCUGCCCUAAUACGGCGGGCCCAUGACGGUACCGUAAGAAUAAGCACCGGCUAACUACGUGCCAGCAGCCGCGGUC
rnacentral:rRNA from 1 species